CUACGGGUCGCUGCAGUGGGGAAUAUUGGACAAUGGGGGAAACCCUGAUCCAGCAAUGCCGCGUGUGUGAAGAAGGCCUGCGGGUUGUAAAGCACUUUCGGUUGGGAGGACUGCUUCUAGCACUAAUAUUGUUGGAAGUUGACGUUACCUUCAGAAGAAGCACCGGCUAACUCCGUGCCAGCAGCCGCGGUAAUACGGAGGGUGCAUGCGUUAAUCGGAAUUACUGGGCGUAAAGCGCGCGUAGGCGGCUAGAUCAGUCGGGUGUGAAAGCCCCGGGCUUAACCUGGGAACUGCAUCCGAUACUGUCUAGCUUGAGUACAGGAGAGGAGAGUGGAAUUCCACAUGUAGCGAUGAAAUGCGUAGAUAUGUAGAGGAACACCAAUGGCGAAGGCAGCUCUCUGGCCUGAUACUGACGCUGAGGUGCGAAAGCGUGGGGAGCAAACAGGAUUAGAUACCCGCGUAGUC
rnacentral:rRNA from 1 species